CUCGAAUUAUGUAUAGAGUAGGCUAAUUUGCGAGCAUUUUUUAUUUUCUCUGCCGAAAUCCAUUAAUAGGCUUAAGUUGUCGCGAUGUUUUCAAAGCUAAACAUAAGCAAAGAUCACGCCUGUUCUACCCUUUUGUCUAAUUGUUGGCCAUAAAUAAAAGGCGACGAGAACUCGUGUCGACAAGCCCACAGUUCUGGGCCGUCGAUUGCGUGGAAGUGCGCCAAUUUGAGAGCUCUAUAAAAUACGCCUCAACUACGGCACAUGCUGUCUAUCUCGGAAGUGAGAAUGUGUACAAAGCAUAGAAAGUUGGCGUUUGCUCCAGAGAACUCAGCCACAAAGUGGAACAAAGGGGCCGAGCAGAGAGACGGACGCGAUUUCUGAAGGUCACACAAGCAAUUCGAUUGCGUGCCAAGCAUAAAUUGAUCGGCUAAUAUAGCGUUACGAAAAGUCGUUGAACUUUCGUGUGAUGUCUUGCAGCAUGUAAUGUAAAUAUUGUUAUAACUUAAAAUAGAGCUGGAAAUAAUA